rnacentral:lncRNA from 1 species
CUGUUUAUUAAACGGGUCAGAAAUUGCAAACCUGAACCUGACCUGUUUAUUAAACAGGUAACCCGACCCGACCCGUUUAACCUGUUUAAUAAACAGGUAACCUGUUUACCCAACCCGACCCGACCUGUUUAACCUGUUUGCCCAACCUGACCCGUUUAACCUGUUUAGACAUGUUUAAUCUGUCCAACCCAACCUGUUUAACCUGCCCAACCCGACCUGUUUAGACCUGUUUAGACCCGUUUAACCUGUUUAGACCUGUUUA